CUCAUUUUGAGUGACAGAAAAACUGACCAAUCAUACUGUUCCUCUGAAUGGGUGGGUUCUCUUAUCACUAACUCUCAUAGAUAUGUAUCAUGUAUGUAUCUAUUAUGACAAAUUCUGCUCGCUCUCUCGCUUGGUUCGUGUUAUAAAAAUAAAUGUGACUUUACUGCGGUCUUUUUCGGUUUAUUUAGUUUUGUGUUAACUAUAUUCGAAUAAAUUGGUAAUGUAAAACUAUUCUUCGCUGUAAAUUAAUUGUGUGCUCAAUUGCGACGCCCUGUGUUGAAUUUUCCCGCGAGUACAGUAUCAUUACUGAGGGGAAAUAUAACAUUAUUCAUUUAAUUCCACAAAAGGCCUGUAACGUACUGCAGCUUCCUGCAGGCAACGUGAAACAUUGCUGAGGGAGAACUUUAUUCACAACAAAAGGAUAAAGAUGAAGAGGCGGGACUUGAGCAGCUUGUGAUGGCUGUAAUUGUAAAGAAUGGAUCUUCUAGGAGUGGAAGCCCAAAGGAUGCUGGAAUUGUUAUUGAGGCCUUAAAGGUGUUCACAGGGCAUGCUUUAUCCUUGGAUCUAUGCAUUGAAUCUCCAGUAUCCCAGGCAUCUUUUCAGGUGUUUCAGAAACUUUUCUUGGAGCUGGAUUCUUCAAAGUUUAUGAACUGAUUACAGUACAGUAAGUCUAAACUGCUGUCUGAUGUUCUAGUUGUUAAUCAAUGUAACAGAACACAAACAUGGAACCUUUCGUCGGGAAAUGUGGACGGUUUCUUUAAAGACUGUAAAAUACUUUUUGAAGUUUACACUGUUACAAAUACAUCAUUAAAAUGAGAUGCUUUCCUGUUCUUUUGACUGCAAUAAAAUAAGAAUUGAUUCAUCUUUGUCUGUCAUUCUGAAAUCAGAUAUAAUACUCAUUACUAAUAAAAAUAUUAAUGGAUGAAAUUUUAAAAUUAAAAUAGUAUAAUUGAAUAGAAUUUAUUGUAUAGUGCUAGGUCUUUGUCCUGUAUACCCAAUAUUUUGUUUAAAUUUAAAUUAAUUUCUAAUUGCAAAUUGCAGAUUAUCUUUUUGAAUGGGUUACUAUUAAAGAGUUUAUGGAGUGAUUCUAACACAAUUUUUAUUUAUUGAAUUUAAUUAAUGAUAUUGCUUGUAAUCUGUUGCCACACUUUUAUUGAGUAGAUAUCAAAUAAU